rnacentral:rRNA from 1 species
UCUGCGUCUGGAAAGAAUUUCGGUUGGGGAUGGGCUCGCGGCCUAUCAGCUUGUUGGUGAGGUAAUGGCUCACCAAGGCGUCGACGGGUAGCCGGCCUGAGAGGGUGACCGGCCACACUGGGACUGAGACACGGCCCAGACUCCUACGGGAGGCAGCAGUGGGGAAUAUUGCACAAUGGGCGCAAGCCUGAUGCAGCAACGCCGCGUGAGGGACGACGGCCUUCGGGUUGUAAACCUCUUUUAGCAGGGAAGAAGCGAAAGUGACGGUACCUGCAGAAAAAGCGCCGGCUAACUACGUGCCAGCAGCCGCGGUAAUACGUAGGGCGCAAGCGUUAUCCGGAAUUAUUGGGCGUAAAGAGCUCGUAGGCGGUUUGUCGCGUCUGCUGUGAAAUCCGGAGGCUCAACCUCCGGCCUGCAGUGGGUACGGGCAGACUAGAGUGCGGUAGGGGAGAUUGGAAUUCCUGGUGUAGCGGUGGAAUGCGCAGAUAUCAGGAGGAACACCGAUGGCGAAGGCAGAUCUCUGGGCCGUAACUGACGCUGAGGAGCGAAAGGGUGGGGAGCAAACAGGCUUAGAUACCCUGGUAGUCCACCCCGUAAACGUUGGGAACUAGUUGUGG